CUAGCGGCAGGCCUAACACAUGCAAGUCGAGGGGCAGCACAAAGAUAGUUUACUAUUUUGGUGGCGACCGGCGCACGGGUGAGUAACGCGUAUGCAACCUACCUUACACAGGAGUAUAGCCCGAAGAAAUUCGGAUUAAUCCUCCAUAGUAUUUUCUAAUGGCAUCAUUUGGAAAAUUAAAGCUUCGGCGGUAUAAGAUGGGCAUGCGUCCUAUUAGCUAGAUGGUAAGGUAACGGCUUACCAUGGCAACGAUAGGUAGGGGGCCUGAGAGGGUGAUCCCCCACACUGGUACUGAGACACGGACCAGACUCCUACGGGAGGCAGCAGUGAGGAAUAUUGGGCAAUGGAGGCAACUCUGACCCAGCCAUGCCGCGUGCAGGAAGAAUGCCCUAUGGGUUGUAAACUGCUUUUAUUUAGGAAUAAACCCUUCUACGUGUAGAAGGCUGAAUGUACUAAACGAAUAAGCACCGGCUAACUCCGUGCCAGCAGCCGCGGUAAUACGGAGGGUGCAAGCGUUAUCCGGAAUCAUUGGGUUUAAAGGGUCCGCAGGCGGACGUAUAAGUCAGUGGUGAAAUCCUGCAGCUUAACUGCAGAACUGCCAUUGAUACUGUACGUCUUGAAUUCGGUCGAAGUGGGCGGAAUGUGUAGUGUAGCGGUGAAAUGCAUAGAUAUUACACAGAACACCGAUUGCGAAGGCAGCUCACUAGGCCUGGAUUGACGCUCAGGACGAAAGCGUGGGGAC
rnacentral:rRNA from 1 species